AUUGAACGCUGGCGGCAGGCCUAACACAUGCAAGUCGAACGGUAACAGGAAGAAGCUUGCUUCUUUGCUGACGAGUGGCGGACGGGUGAGUAAUGUCUGGGAAACUGCCUGAUGGAGGGGGAUAACUACUGGAAACGGUAGCUAAUACCGCAUAACGUCGCAAGACCAAAGAGGGGGACCUUCGGGCCUCUUGCCAUCGGAUGUGCCCAGAUGGGAUUAGCUAGUAGGUGGGGUAACGGCUCACCUAGGCGACGAUCCCUAGCUGGUCUGAGAGGAUGACCAGCCACACUGGAACUGAGACACGGUCCAGACUCCUACGGGAGGCAGCAGUGGGGAAUAUUGCACAAUGGGCGCAAGCCUGAUGCAGCCAUGCCGCGUGUAUGAAGAAGGCCUUCGGGUUGUAAAGUACUUUCAGCGGGGAGGAAGGGAGUAAAGUUAAUACCUUUGCUCAUUGACGUUACCCGCAGAAGAAGCACCGGCUAACUCCGUGCCAGCAGCCGCGGUAAUACGGAGGGUGCAAUCGUUAAUCGGAAUUACUGGGCGUAAAGCGCACGCAGGCGGUUUGUUAAGUCAGAUGUGAAAUCCCCGGGCUCAACCUGGGAACUGCAUCUGAUACUGGCAAGCUUGAGUCUCGUAGAGGGGGGUAGAAUUCCAGGUGCAGCGGUGAAAUGCGUAGAGAUCUGGAGGAAUACCGGCGGCGAAGGCGGCCCCCUGGACGAAGACUGACGCUCAGGUGCGAAAGCGUGGGGAGCAAACAGGAUUAGAUACCCUGGUAGUCCACGCCGUAAACGAUGUCGACUUGGAGGUUGUGCCCUUGAGGCGUGGCUUCCGGAGCUAACGCGUUAAGUCGACCGCCCGGGGAGUACGGCCGCAAGGUUAAAACUCAAAUGAAUUGACGGGGGCCCGCACAAGCGGUGGAGCAUGUGGUUUAAUUCGAUGCAACGCGAAGAACCUUACCUGGUCUUGACAUCCACGGAAGUUUUCAGAGAUGAGAAUGUGCCUUCGGGAACCGUGAGACAGGUGCUGCAUGGCUGUCGUCAGCUCGUGUUGUGAAAUGUUGGGUUAAGUCCCGCAACGAGCGCAACCCUUAUCCUUUGUUGCCAGCGGUCCGGCCGGGAACUCAAAGGAGACUGCCAGUGAUAAGCUGGAGGAAGGUGGGGAUGACGUCAAGUCAUCAUGGCCCUUACGACCAGGGCUACACACGUGCUACAAUGGCGCACACAAAGAGAAGCGACCUCGCGAGAGCAAGCGGACCUCAUAAAGUGCGUCGUAGUCCGGAUUGGAGUCUGCAACUCGACUCCAUGAAGUCGGAAUCGCUAGUAAUCGUGGAUCAGAAUGCCACGGUGAAUACGUUCCCGGGCCU
rnacentral:rRNA from 1 species